rnacentral:sRNA from 2 species
UGCCUGACUCCGACCCACCCAGGACGGGGGCGGGGGACCCAUCUCCCGGCGCGCCGCGCGCGCCUUGGGGUGAAGCCGCACCGUGCGUUCCACGGCACGGCGGCCGGGCACCGAUUCGCCCGAACCCGACAGCUCACCUCGUCGGCGGUGAUCGGAGGAUCA